rnacentral:rRNA from 1 species
UACGUAGGUGGCAAGCGUUGUCCGGAUUUACUGGGCGUAAAGAGCGCGCAGGCGGUCGUUUAAGUCGAAUGUGAAAGCCCCCGGCUCAACUGGGGAGGGUCAUUCGAUACUGAUCGACUCGAAGGCAGGAGAGGGAAGCGGAAUUCCCGGUGUAGUGGUGAAAUGCGUAGAUAUCGGGAAGGAACACCAGUGGCGAAGGCGGCUUCCUGGCCUGUUCUUGACGCUGAGGCGCGAAAGCUA